UCAUCAUGUUGCUCUCUGUGCUGCUGCUGAUGAUGAUGGUGAUCAGCUGGACAGAAGCUGUUUAUACUGGUGUUGUGAUGGCACACACCGCUAAAGAUGUACAAGGAAACAGUUUUACACUUGUGCGUCGCUAUAGGUUUGGCCACAGCUCAUGUGGAGAGACUGAUUCAUUUCUUUCUUGUUCUGGCUGUACUCAGAAGAUUGAUGAAAGCAGCGGUGAAUGGUGUCUGAGAGAGUAUACCUCGUGGGGCAGUAGGAGUUUCAUCAGUUACUACUAUGGGUUGAAUCCUGGAACCUGGAUAAACAACAAAAACGGCAUUUCAAUUGGUCUCUCUAAGAUGCUUGUUGAAGGGAGAAAACGAUCUGACAUUAACAGACCAAACUCAUCACCAAAGACCGGCAUCCUUCCUGUUAUGAGAGUUCCCUCAAACUGUCAGAGGAAUAUCAGCUUGUUGACCUUUGACCCUGAUGGAGACCAUGUUCAAUGCAGAAAUGGAUCAGGUUCCAGUGAGUGUUACACCUGCACACCUCCGUCUGUCCUCAGUCUCUCAUCGUCUUGUUCUCAAUCAUUCACUCCAACCAGCAGCAACGUUGAAGGUUCAUAUGCAGUUCAGCUGAUAAUGCAGGAUUUUCCCAGACAGACCAUCACUCUGACUCAUAACAAUGGUUCAACAGAGUCGAUAAGCUCCAAGAUUUCUAUGAGCAGAAUCCCUGUCCAGUUUGUUUUCAAAGUGGAUCCUGCAGCUCCGUCCUGCACAGCAGGUGAAUAUCUGCCCAGGUUUCUGCCUCCGACUCCUGAACAUGGAGCUCAGUUCUUCAUAAACAUCAGUGAGACGAUAGAAAUCAACAUCACAGCAGAGGCGACUCAGUCUGUGAUCACUGAGCUCCUGUUCAGCGGACCGUUCAGCAUGACCAAGAGUUCAUCUGGUUCAGGAAAUUUCACCCUGAGAUGGACGCCGUCUGUCAAUCAAAGUGAUGAUAAAGAAAGCCAUCCCAUCUGUUUUGCUGUCCAGGCAAAUGCCUCCAGUUCUAUCUACCAGUCUGAGCUUCGAUGUGUCAUUGUGAGGGUUGGAAACAUACCUUUCAUAGCAACUCCAAGUCCUCCUACAACAUCUCGUCUUACGGUUCUGAAGCUGAAGAUCUCGACUACGCUGUCACUGAAAGACAACAAGGAUGAAAUCGAGAAAGCGAUUAAAGAUGAACUGAUCAGUCGAGGGCUGCCUCCAGACAUAAAGGUCCGCCUGCUGAGCGACGGUUCAGUGAAGGUUAAAGAAACAGCUGCCCCCUAGUGGCUAACAAUGAGAAUGAAUCUGAUCCUUGCAGUAAAAUGUUUAUCUGGAUUUAUCUGUUUUUACUUCUUGUACCUUCUAUGUAGGGGAUUAUGGUUGCUUUAGGUAGUCGGACUAAACUUAGUUACGAAAUUAAGCAAAAAUAGAGAGAAUUUCUAUUUCUGUGUGAAUUUUUAAAAAUCAUGAUACUUUCAUAAAGAAGUUAAUGAAACAGCUGCCCCCUAGUGGCUAAAUAUGAUAAUGAAUCUGUUUCAUUAAGAGAAAUGUAUCUGUUUUAAUUUUAGGGACUUGUGUUUGUUUUAGGUAGUGGACUAAACGUAGUUAAGAAAAUAAUAAUUUUUUUUCUGUGUGACAAUCUUUACAAAAUGCAGAUAAUUCCUCUUCCAUGUGUAACAUUUAUGGCUGUGGGCUUUUUAUUGACCUUUAUAUCAUAUCAUGUUCUGUGGUGGUAUUUCUGUGGAGCUCAUGAUUUUUAUGUGAUCAUUUUAUUUGCAUAUUUUGUAUGUGGAGAUUUUAUAAAUGCAUAUAGGCUGGAAAACAGUGGAGUAUAAAAUAAAAUCAAUCAAUAUUGAGAGUCUUCAAAAAAAGUGUUUUAAAUUAAUAAAUAAUGAAAAAUGAA